CCCUUAGAUGUUCUGGGCCGCACGCGUGCUACACUGAGUGGAUCAGCGGGUCAGGUUACGCGAAAGUGUUUCCUAAUCUUUAAAUCCGCUCGUGAUGGGGAUUGACGGUUGCAAUUUUCCGUCAUGAACGAGGAAUACCUUGUAAGCGCGGGUCAUCAUCCCGCGCUGAAUACGUCCCUGCCCUUUGUACACACCGCCCGUCGCUCCUACCGAUUGAGUGGUCCGGUGAGGCUUUGGGAUCUGAGCGGAAAGAGCGUUUCGCUGUUUCUGCUCGGAAAACUCAGUCGAACCUUAUCAUUUAGAGGAAGGAGAAGUCGUAACA
rnacentral:rRNA from 1 species